rnacentral:misc_RNA from 1 species
GACAGAGGGUGCGAACGUUGCUCGGAAUCACUGGGCGUAAAGCGCGUGUAGGCGGAUCGGAAAGUCAGGUGUGAAAUCCCUGGGCUCAACCUAGGAACUGCAUCUGAAACUUCCGGUCUAGAGUGUCGGAGAGGGAAGCGGAAUUCCUGGUGUAGAGGUGAAAUUCGUAGAUAUCAGGAGGAACACCGGUGGCGAAGGCGGCUUCCUGGACGACUACUGACGCUGAGACGCGAAAGCGUGGGGAGCAAACAGG